AAGUCGCAAAGAAUACUGUUUGUUCGUGGACUGGCGUUUGUGACUGAAUCCAUCGAAUGUUACUAAUUAUUUGAAGAAAUCUGGGGAGUCAGCACCCUGCUGAAUUGUAGUAAACGAAGACGUCCAAUCUACUAGACCAUCAAAGAUGCAGAUUUGGAUUUUCUAUUUCAUAGUUAUUGAAAUCAUAAUGAGAAUGAAGUACUGCCACUAAGGUAAAGGUGCUAACUUGCAAGGUAAUUUUCUAUUCUACAUUAACUCAAUCUUUAUGUCCUGUUACAGAUAUAUUGGCAGAAAUAAUGAAAACCUGACAUUCAAAAAGAAAAAUAAUAAUGUUGAAUGUAGUAUAUUAGAUGGUUAACUGCGGUUUGGCAGCUCAUUAAUAAUCUUACACAUAUUGAGUACGAAUAACUUUGACAAUUACCGGUAUUUUCAAUAGUAUAAAAUUAGGC